UGAAUAGAUCAAACCUGAACUCUCCCUGGAAGCCAGGAUAACUAAACUGAGGCUCCUAUCAAGAAAUCACUAAGAAAGCUUAGAAGAGUCAUACAUAGAAAUAUAUGAUACUUUGGAAGGUGGUGAUGCCUCCAUGAUGUUGUCAAGAAAAGUAACACUAGGAAUGGUGCAUGGAGUAUGGAGGAAAAUUCAUGUGGCAUUUGAAAAUGCAGCAAGAAAACAAAUUGUCAUGUGAUUUAAGACUAAGAAAAUGAGAACAGCCAUUUACGUCCCAUCAUGUGAACUACCCCAAUCCAUCAGUCUUGAUUCCUCAAAUAACAGCUUCUGCAGAACUGAAGCAUCAAUUUCUUUAGCCACUCAGAUUUAUCUGUCAGAUUUUUCCUGGGCCAUCUAGUGGCUACUUAUGGAAACUGACAGACAAACAUGAAACCGCCAUCAUGUUAUGAAACUCUUAAAGGUUAGUUAUUUGUAGAAAGAGUGCCUGCCAACAUUGGAUUCCCAUAAAUAGGCCACAGCUGCAAGAGCAGGAGGCAUACUUCUGAAUAACCUAGGCAUUGAUCGGUGUGGGAAAAUUGCUUUGUAAGUGAGAGAUAAGCUUAUUGCCCUUCAAAGGUGGGUUACAGUGAGGCAGAGAAGUUCAUCCGGCUUUUGGCAGAGUUCACUUGUGCUAUGUUUCACUUUAAUUCCAUAUCUACAGUAAGGAUGAUGGUCUGCCAGUUUCUACUAGUGUUCUGCUGUAUCUGUGGUUUCAUGAGAAGUCCCCCGGACAAGUUAAAGAUAAUUAACUUGCAGAGCCUACAUUGUGUAAUCAAGACACUUAGCAGUCAACAGAAACUGCAAAAAAGGGUUAUAUUGGUGCUUCUGGAAUAUGCUUCUAUUAGCCAUUGAAAGCAAUUCUUUUAUGCCAGAGCAUCUUUGAGAUGUAGCACAUAAAGAUAGCAGUGGCAUGUGUCUUCAACUUUUAAGCAUGUGCAUUACUCAAGAUUUGUCUCUUUUUCAUUCAGACAGAGGUUGUUUCUUCACAGGCCAGAAUACUCCCAGAUCAGCUGGAAUAUUCUGACCCUGAAACUGCCCUGAAUUCCCCCCCAUUACCUUGGGCACUCCACUGAAAUGCCUGGUGGCUUAAGUGGUCUGGUGCCACUUCUGCUGAUGCAAGUCGCUCGCUCUGAGGUCAGAAGAAGGCAGACAGCACUGAUCAAAUGGCUGGUUGCCUCAUCCUGACCUCAGAGCAAGUGACUUGCAUCAGCAGCAGUGGGACACAGUGUAAAUAGCUGCCCAGUGUUGCUACAGAGGGCUCUAGAUUUUCCUAGAAGAUCCAGAGCAAAAGGUGAUUU